GCGGCCCGAAGUGGAAGCAGCCCAGCUGUGCAACCAGCCGAGAAAUGGUUAAACGGGCUGCAGCGCAGCUGUGCCUGCCGUGAGCUAUCUGGUCAUGGGAAGGAAUGAAGUCCCCAGGCAUUUGCAACACAGGUGAACCUUGAAAACAUUAAGGCAAGUGAUGGAAGCCACGCAUCAAGGGCACGGGAAAAAGAUGGGGUAAAUUCCAGCUCGUAAAUGUGGAAGGAAUCAAAGAAUGAACCACCACCGCUUGCAAUCAGGGCCCAACUGCUCUGGUCCUCCCUUGGGUCCCAGGACUGCACCACUGGGCUUGCUCUCCUCUGCCCUUGCUGUGGGAACCAGUCUGAAUUCUGCAACACAGGGUCCUGAGCAGCGAGCUUCACCUACCUGGCCUCUCCCCAAACGACACAGCUCCCACACUUCUGGCUCAG